GCAAUCAGCCUCCAGAGGGCGUACUUUCAAUAACACCAUAUCCUCCAGGACCUCAACACUUGCUGAAGUUCUCCACCCUUGCAGAGGCAUUACUUAAAGGAUGUCAUAUCAUACCUACAUGUGUUCCAUGCCAUCUGGCCGGCCACUUUUCUGUACAGCCUACUCCCUAGAUACCGCCUCUUCAAAUGUCCACCCUGGCAAAUUCUGACAGAGAAUAACUGCAUCUAAAACUUUCUCCAGGCCACAGCCUCAUAAACAGGAUCUCACUGUGCAGUUCAGGAUGGUUUUGAGCUCACUUUGUAACCCAGUUUGCUCUCAGACUUGCAACAAUCCUCCUGCUUCAGCCUCGUGAGUGCUGGGAUUACAGGCAUGUGCCACCAUGCCCAGCUGAAUUAAACAUUAUUUCCAAUUGACUAUAUUUUUCUUCUUAUGUGGUUAGGAACUUAAUUUGAUAUGUGGAUUCUGGAAUUUGUUUCAGUUGCGAUUCACAGGAACUAAAGUAGCCUGACUGUAAUUACUUCAGUAGAAUCCAAUUUCCUACACAUAAUAAAAAUAAUUUUCAUAACAGA